rnacentral:rRNA from 1 species
CUUGACGACCAUAGAACAUUGGAACCACCUGAUCCCAUCCCGAACUCAGUAGUGAAACG